AGCGAACGCUGGCGGCAGGCCUAACACAUGCAAGUCGAACGGAUCCUUCGGGAUUAGUGGCGGACGGGUGAGUAACACGUGGGAACGUGCCCUUUGGUUCGGAACAACUCAGGGAAACUUGAGCUAAUACCGGAUGUGCCCUUCGGGGGAAAGAUUUAUCGCCAUUGGAGCGGCCCGCGUCUGAUUAGCUAGUUGGUGGGGUAACGGCCCACCAAGGCGACGAUCAGUAGCUGGUCUGAGAGGAUGAUCAGCCACACUGGGACUGAGACACGGCCCAGACUCCUACGGGAGGCGGCAGUGGGGAAUCUUGCGCAAUGGGCGAAAGCCUGACGCAGCCAUGCCGCGUGAAUGAUGAAGGUCUUAGGAUUGUAAAAUUCUUUCAGCGGGGACGAUAAUGACGGUACCCGCAGAAGAAGCUCCGGCUAACUUCGUG
rnacentral:rRNA from 1 species